GCCAUCGCAAGGGAGGAUUUUCCUCGGGUACUGACCAUACCCCGACCCCA
rfam:Culex flavivirus genomic RNA, complete genome, strain: Tokyo